ACCCGUGGGUGAACAGUGGUCAGGAGUUGCCUCUGACAACAUGAAGAACAAAUCCUGGACCACCUGAAUCCCAAAACAACCCAGCUUUUGGUGGCCAUGGGAUUCCAGGCUGAGAACCUAUCUGUGGCAAUCAAAGAAAAAUUAUUCAGUUAUCCCAUGGCCACCUACCUUGUUUUGGAACAAACAAAACAGAAGAAGCGGUCCACUAUCAGACCACAGACCCUUCCUCCUGGGGAUCCCACUUGUCCUCUCUACAUUGAAGUUUCCACCUUCCCUCUUUCACUGAAGCGGGCUCAUAGCAUUCAGCAGAAGACUGUGGGUGCCAAGUCUGGGCAGGGCCUUUGCCCUUGGGAGUCCUGUUUUAGACCCAGCUCCACCACGUGGCCCUGGCCUCUUCUCUGCCCUGUCUGUGCUUGCAGCCAUGGUGCCCAGUCUGGCCCCACCAGGAGACACCAGAACGACUGUCCAUGUGUCUACUCCUUGGCACCUUCCCCGCAUGAUUGGAGAGGACGAAGGCCCUGAGGUCCAAGAACAUUGAAACCUGACAGUGGAUGCCAAUGGCUGUGGGGAGGAGCUGGGCGAGGCGCCCAGGUUGUCGUCUGCCCGGCAACGUGGGAGCCUGCAGCACUUUCCUGCAAAGCUCUAUUUUAUCUUUUUAAAUAAAAAUGGUUACUGAUAAGUGA
rnacentral:lncRNA from 1 species